ensembl:lncRNA
GCAGCUUAAGAUGCAGCAAAUGAAUGUUCCCCUAAUAGUAGAAAAAUAGGCUCUCCCAUCUCUCAAACGACAGCAUUUCUUUUUAAAUGAAAUCAAAGUCAGGGAUGGGAAUAAAAGCAACAGAGACUUUGCUUGUACAAAACCAGCCCAGCACAAGGAAGUUAUCAGCAGCGGUGGACAUAGCCAGAGGAGCAAGGACAGUCAGAAAACCUGCUGGUCAAGUGGCAGCCCGGCUGUACCUCCUAGCUUACGUCCUUUUUGGGUAAUGAAAGAAGCUACAGUUUCUUAAAGGAAGGACAGAGGAACAUCCUCUUCAGACUGACACAAAAAGGGUUAAAGAACAUCCCUGCAUGAUGAAAAUCUCCUGUCUUUUAAAGGCGUUCUCUUCUGAAGCAGUUCGUUGUCCCUGGUAGCAUCUGUCCUCCUCAGGCCCUGGUGUCAUCCUCUGAGAAGCACACACCUCACGUUCCCAGGCCAGGAAGCAAGCAGUCUGUUGCCUUCUCUUCUUUCUUGCCAUGAAACCGUCAUGCUUCUGGCCUUCUUUGCUCAUCCCCAUGGGUUUCGCUGCUGGUGACUGUCUGCAACAGCUUGCAGCAGGAGGACUACGUCCUAGUGAAAGCCGGCAAUGAGUGGUGUCCCCCGGGAGUCUGUCUUUAGACCUUACUCUUUGACAUCAUUAUCAGUGACGUAGACGAGGGGGUUCAGUGCACCCUCAGCAAGCUUGCAGUCGACACCAAGCUGGUGCAGUUAGGACAACAAAAGGAAGGGAUGCUGUCCAUCGGUGGCUGAACGAGCUUGAAAGAUGGGCGCAUGUGAAUCCAAUGAGGUUUCCCAAGGCCAUGUUCAAGACUGAGAGGUCGAUGUUCGCCUCUCAGUCCUCCUGAGCCAUUUCCUUCCCGGUCGUGUGGUGCCGGCCUAGCGCCGCCGCUGGGGCCGCCUCUUGCGGGGCAGGGCUGAGUCCUGGGGGCUGCUGCUGGCCUUCCUCUUUGGGGCAGGCCGGGGCCCCCCACGGGAACGGUCCCUGCUCUGGGUGGAGGGGCCCGCUGCCGCCGCCUGCCCCGGCUCCUCCUGCGCCUCCUCCUCUGAGGGCACGGUGGCGGCGGUGAGGUUCCCGGGAACCCUGCAAAGGACGCCGGGGAGCUCCUCAGCGGUGAGGCCUGCGGCGCUGGUGGAGCAGCCUGGGCCGGAGGCGGGAAGCCCCUGCUGGGAGGCGGUGGGGCUCGGGGUGGCUGUGGGGCUGUUCUCCUGUCCCCCUCUGGCACCAGUGUCCCUGUGAUCCUGCUGCCGGCGGAUCUCUGGGCCGUACAGCGCUGCAGCGAUGAUAAUGAGCCUCCUCACAAAGCGCUCCGUGAGGCCUUGGAGACUUGGCUGCAGCUCCCGCAGCAGGACCGCCUGAUCGAGCCCGUACUUGCACAGGAAGUUCAGAAUGAUGGUCAGUCUGGCGUGCAUCUCCCACCACCUGUCAACAGAGAUCCCCCUGAUCUCUUGAUGGAGCCACUGAAGCAGGGGCGUGAGGUGUCCUGGAUGUUGCUGGAAAAAGGCAGCCCAGAUCUCAGGUGGAAAGCUGAGCUCAGGAGGCAGGAGCACCGGCUCUGCAGGCUCCUGCUCGCUCUGCAGGCCAUAACCUGAGUGUGCUGUGGGCUGCGGGACAGGACACUCGAGAUAAUCAUCAUCCGACCUCACCGAGUAUCGGAUGGUUCUGAUCUUGUGCCCGCACACGGCACAUCUGUCCUUCUUUUUUGCCCACCAGAGCGCACAGCCGUAGCAUAGCUGGUGGAGACAAGGCGUCACAUAGGCCGCAUCGUCCUGAGCCUGGCCGCAGAUCGGACAGGUCCAGUCUAAUGGCAUCUCCAUGGCCGCUGGCUGUGCGGUGGGCUGGGAGAGCUGAGGACAGGAAGCUGCUCCCCUCACUGGCGCUGCAGCGGGCAGAAGGUGUCACAAACUGCAAGAGAGAGAGAGAGAGAGGCUAUGGUCGCUUUCUGUUUCCAGGGCAGACAGCAGUGAUGCCCCAGUCCCUCAACAGCAAACCUCCCCAACCCCUGCCCCCCACUGGCCAUCCUGGAGCUGUAUCGUCUCACCUCUGCUGCUGUGAGCGCACCCUGUGGGGCCCCAGCUGCCUGAGCCCGGCAGGGCUGGGGAAAUGCUGGUGAUGCUGUGGGAUAGGCACCAAUAACUGCUGCCAGCAGUCCCACAGCACAACCCAACCAAAGCCUCGUUUCGUGAUCCAAGUCUCGCAGACACGCUCAACUGGAGUCCAGGAACGAGUGGAUGCUGGUCUCGGCCAGCACUGGAAUUUGUAUGCUAUGGUCACCGAGGCCACAGUCAUCUCUCACUGAUGUCACAACUCCCUGGUCAGUGACCUCACAGUCCACGGCUGUGUGUAUUUGGACACCAGCCUGGGCCUCCAUCACCCUCCAUUAUUCAGUGAUUUUUCUUUCUAAUGCUGAUAUCUGGGAGAAUAAAAAUUGCACGAUCACUUUCUCCACAAUAAUCCAUCUUCUAUGAACU